rnacentral:rRNA from 1 species
UACGUAGGGUGCGAGCGUUAAUCGGAAUACUGGGCGUAAAGCGUGCGCAGGCGGUUCGUUGUGUCGGCGGUGAAAGCCCCGGGCUCAACCUGGGAAUGGCCGUUGAAACUGGCGAACUGGAGUGUGGCAGAGGGGGGUGGAAUUCCGCGUGUAGCAGUGAAAUGCGUAGAGAUGCGGAGGAACACCAGUGGCGAAGGCGGCUCACUGGCCCGUAACUGACGCUGAGGUGCGAAAGCGUGGGGAGCAAACAGG